AACGAACGCUGGCGGCUGGCUUAACACAUGCAAGUCGAGCGCCCCGCAAGGGGAGCGGCAGACGGGUGAGUAACACGUGGGAAUCUACCCAUCCCUACGGAACAACUCCGGGAAACUGGAGCUAAUACCGUAUACGCCCUUCGGGGGAAAGAUUUAUCGGGGAUGGAUGAGCCCGCGUUGGAUUAGCUAGUUGGUGGGGUAAAGGCCUACCAAGGCGACGAUCCAUAGCUGGUCUGAGAGGAUGAUCAGCCACAUUGGGACUGAGACACGGCCCAAACUCCUACGGGAGGCAGCAGUGGGGAAUAUUGGACAAUGGGCGCAAGCUUGAUCCAGCCAUGCCGCGUGAAUGAUGAAGGCCUUAGGGUUGUAAAGUUCUUUCACCGAUGAAGAUAAUGACGGUAGUCGGAGAAGAAGCCCCGGCUAACUUCGUGCCAGCCGCCGCUGUAA
rnacentral:rRNA from 1 species